CACAGUGCACUUUAAAAAGCGAUUCAACAGACGUACCAGUUACUUUAACAAAUCAGGAGGCUUGCUAUACCAAUUGCCUUGACGAUCCCGAGUGUAUCGGCUAUCUUUAUAUCCCCGGAGUAUUUUGCUUGCUUUCCUACCCGUCUGGAUCAAUUGUUGACAUAAACAAUUUUCCGGUGGAUUCAUUUGUCUAUCUUGAUUGUGAUAGAU